AAAUGAAACUAAUUUUAGUUAUUAAUUUCGACUUAAUAUAUAGAUAAUUUAAAUUUAUCCAUUUU
rnacentral:tRNA from 1 species